GACGAACGCUGGCGGCGUGCUUAACACAUGCAAGUCGAACGAAAAGAGGGAAAGAGCUUGCUCUUUCCGGAAUUGAGUGGCAAACGGGUGAGUAACACGUAAACAACCUGCCUUCAGGAUGGGGACAACAGACGGAAACGACUGCUAAUACCGAAUAAGUUCCAAGGGCCGCAUGGCCCAUGGAAGAAAAGGUGGCCUCUACCUGUAAGCUAUCGCCUGAAGAGGGGUUUGCGUCUGAUUAGCUGGUUGGAGGGGUAACGGCCCACCAAGGCGACGAUCAGUAGCCGGUCUGAGAGGAUGAACGGCCACACUGGAAUUGAGACACGGUCCAGACUCCUACGGGAGGCAGCAGUGGGGAAUCUUCCGCAAUGGGCGAAAGCCUGACGGAGCAACGCCGCGUGAGUGAUGACGGCCUUCGGGUUGUAAAACUCUGUGAUCCGGGACGAAAAGGCAGAGUGCGAAGAACAAACUGCAUUGACGGUACCGGAAAAGCAAGCCGCGGCUAACUACGUG
rnacentral:rRNA from 1 species